rnacentral:lncRNA from 1 species
GGGGCUGAAUAAAGCCUUUUUGCAUGGAAAAUAAUCAAGAACUCUUCCCUUAGUGUCGCACAAAUCGGAAGCCUUCAUAAGGGGCCGAUAGGUAGGAGUUUGUUUGGGAUAAGGACUUUUAGUUCAAAUCGAAUUCAAACUAAAACUAACCCUAUCCUAUCCUUAAUGGGUGACCACAUGGGGCAUUUGGCAUGGUGUCAACUCAUGCUAAAUCAGAUUUAGCGAAGAGAGCAUGGCAUGAAGAAAGGAG